GACGGGAUUCCAACAAACAGACGCAAACGAUCUCCCCUCCUUGGCCUCCUUGUACGACCUGUAUACCCUGUACAACGUCCCGGCACCACCAUAUAUAUCCCAGCCUCACACGGCCUCCUGCGUCGUCGACGACGAGUCCUUGUCACACCACAAUGGCGGUGGCGAGGUUGCUCCUGCUGUCCUGCGUCGCUCUCGUCGCGCUCCUCCUCGUCCUGCCCUCCCGCGCCGCCGCCGCCGCCGCCGGCACCGCCGAUGGGUCGGAGGAGUGGGGAUACAUGCAAGUCCGACCCAAGGCGCACAUGUUCUGGUGGCUGUACCGUAGCCCCCACCGCGUCGACAACGGCACAGCGCCAUGGCCGACCGUGCUGUGGCUGCAGGGCGGCCCGGGCGCGUCGGGGGUGGGUUACGGCAACUUCAUGGAGAUCGGGCGCCUGGACACGGACCUCAAGCCCCGCGCCACCACCUGGCUCAACAAGGCCGACCUCCUCUUCGUUGACAACCCCGUUGGCACGGGGUUCAGCUUCGUGGAGGGCGGCAACAAGAGCCUGAUGGCGCGCACGGACGGUCAGGCGGCGCGCGACCUGACGGCGUUACUCAUCAAGCUCUACCGGCACAACAAGCGGCUGCAGGGGAGUCCGCUCUACAUCGUGGCCGAGUCGUACGGCGGCAAGUUCGCCGUCACCACCGCCCUCACCGCGCUCAAGGCCAUCCGACAUGGACACCUCAAGGCCAAGCUUGGAGGUGUGGCCCUCGGGGAUAGCUGGAUUUCACCAGAGGACUCCGUGUUGUCAUGGGGCCCGUUGCUAUACGAAGUGUCUCGUAUCGACGAGAAGGGACUGCAGCAAUGCGACAGCCUGGCGAAUAAGAUCAAGGCGCAGCUCAAGGCGAAGCAGUACGCGGCGGCGGAGAAGUCGUGGGAGGACCUCGAGUCGGCCGUCCUCGAGCAGAGCAACUCCGUGAACUUCUACAACAUCCUCAAGGACGAGUCGUCGGAGGACGCUGCAGUGCUGGCGACUGCGGGGGCGGCUGUGAGGAAGGUGGGCUACACGAGGUACCUGAGCUCCAAGGCGACGCGGGAAGGCGGCCUGGACGGCCUCAUGAACGCCGAGGUCAAGGCCAAGCUGGGCAUCAUCCCCAGCAACUUCACCUGGGGAGAGCAGUCAGGCGACGUGUUCGAAGCCCUCGCAGGCGACUUCAUGAAGCCAAGAAUCAACGAGGUUGACGAGCUCCUGAAACUUGGCGUCGAGGUGACCAUCUACAGCGGACAGCUCGAUCUCAUCUGCGCAACCAAGGGAACACUGGACUGGGUCCAGAAGCUCAAGUGGGAAGGCCUGAAGAAUUUCACAGGGUCGCCCAGAAAGCCGCUCUACUGCAAGGGGGGUGAAGGUGAAGCAGUCGGCACCCAGGCCUUCCUCAAGUCGUACAAGAACCUGAAAUUCUACUGGAUACUCGGAGCUGGCCACAUGGUAACCCAACACAAAACUUGCGCUCACGCAUUCAUCAAAUAAUUGAGCACCUCACCAUAUACUGUUGGCGUUGGGUGAGCAUGUGAAUGUGCAACUUAAUGCAAUAAUCCCGUCCAGCCACAGCCAUGGCUGUUUGGAUCACUACAGGCUUGACCUCUCUGGAGAUGAGUGUGCAUUCAUCUAGUGGCUGAUACCGAUCGACAACCCUUGCCCUGCACUCAACAUGCUGGGUGACAUUACACAAUCUCCUGCUCGGUAGAAACAAGACGACGGCCACACACCAAGCAGCCUGACACCAACACAAGAAACGAUUCCUUUUUCCCUUUUCUUUUCACAGUAAACUGUAAAAGACAGUGGCGGACAUUUAUGAGAUAGGAAAGAUGAGAAAAGAGAGAGAUAAAUGAAUAGAGAGAGACAUCUGUGCAUACAGUGCUGGCGCAACUGUGUUACAUUUCGGUGACAGGGUAUAAUCAACAAUCAAAAUUUAUUGCAUACA